CAGUAGUUAAUCUAUACAAAGGCUGUUUUGCCUUAAUUUUUUUAUUUUUUUGAAAAGUCUAAAUGUUAUAUUGCACUAAUAAAAUAUAUAUUUUUGCAGGCUUCAAGAGGAUCAGCGUGUGAAGAUCACUUUAUAAUGAUUUGAAAAAGGUUGCCAUGGCUACAGAAAUUGGAGGAGCAUCCUUAGAUGACACAAUACAACCAGCUGUGCGAUUCCUCAUGUCCAAUGAACUGGAAGUCCAGUUCAACCUUUUUGGCCAACAUUGGAAACAAGCUCUUGGACCUGCGUCUCUUUGAUGUUUUGUAUGGGGACUUAAAAGAAAUUAUCCAUCUACAGAAUCACACAAGCAUACAGCAAAGACUCUCGAAGUGGUUUACUGGAGCCCGAGUGGAAGUGGAAAUAGACUAGAGAGACUGCCAGUUCAAACUCAGGUUGGGGAGGUCUUUCAAGAUGGACAGUUUCAGUAAAGUAUGAGAGAUUUCAAAUUUAAGCAUGCAUAUGGCAUGUAGGUUAUUUUUAAAAAUGUUUAACAAAAAUGUAUUGUGAAAGAUCUAUAUAGGUGUG